GAUGAAGAACGCAGCGAAAUGCGAUAUGUAGUGUGAAUUGCAGAAUUCAGUGAAUCAUCGAAUCUUUGAACGCACAUUGCACCUCUCGGUAUUCCGGGAGUUAUGCCUGUUCGAGCGUCAUUUGUACCCUCAAGCUCUGCUUGGUGUUGGGUGUUUGUUCCGCCUCUGUGUGUGAACUCGCCUCAAAACAAUUGGCAGCCGGCGUACUUGUUUCGGAGCGCAGCACAUUUUGCGAUCCAGAUCAACGUACAGCGGCAUCCAAGAAGCCUUAUUUAACGCUCUUGACCUCGGAUCAGGUAGGGAUACCCGCUGAACUUAAGCAUAUCAAUAAGCGGAGGA
rnacentral:misc_RNA from 1 species